ensembl:lncRNA
GGGAAAAGGAGGAACAAAUUAGUCUUGGAUGUCAGUAAUUAACAGCUGGCUGGCAGUGGGGCAUUUUGUCAGCUCAGCGGCGGGAAGCUCUUUAUUACAGAUAAAGUCUCAGCAUGGUCUGGGCAGGGAAACCUGCCUCUUGUCAUGGUGGAAGUGAGGAAGUGUGCUCCUGUUUUGCAUUGGUUGGUGUGCUGCAAUAGGUAAAUAGUGUGUUUGUUCCUCAUUUCAGAAAAUACAUCCUUCAGAUAGUAGGUAUGAGAAAUAUACCUCGGACCUCUAGCAUGAGUUUAUUAGGGAAAUAGUGCCUUUAGUACUGGGCCAGGAGCAAGAUGAAAAUUCUUACAAUAUACGCAUGAGUAAUUUGCUUUUUAGCUUUAAAACAGAUUUUGAAUGCUAGAACUUUGCUUUCUAGACCAAUAAUUCUUUUGAGGUCCUUUCCACACAUGCAAGAUUAACGUGGUUGGAAUUACCCAGGUUUUGUUUUUGCCUGAUGUGAUAUUACAAAUGAUAAGCUGAUCAGGAGCUUCUGUCAUGGAUUCCUGCUUAUGAAUAGAUAAAACAGUGUACUGAAAGCUGCUGGGCAAAACUGUUGUGCUGAAUCCUUGGCAAGUUUCAGAAAGACAAACGCGAUGUUGUCAGACCAUCACCCAGUACAGUUGCAGUCACUCAACAGGCCAAAAGCAAGAUCCUGAUCUUGGGCAUCUCAGGAGCUGGACAUGAUGGCCCUGGGGAGUUCCUUCCAUCUCAGGAUAAUCUGAUUGCUGAACUGCUACUUACAGCUUUUCACAGCCUUCCUACUUGUUCUUGUUCAGUGCGUCUGUUUGAAAGUGUCUUGAAGAUGAAGUUAUUUCCUGGAGGAAUUCUGGUAUGUUUUUCUCCCAACAGUUCAUCAUUCUUAUCUGCUGCAUUCAUUGUCAAGAAGCAGGUGUUAUUUAUUGUACAUAUACUGAGUAAUUUAAACCACUCAUUUUUUUUUUUUCCUGGAAGUUUUGUUAUUUACUAGCUCCUGCCAAGUCGUGUC